rnacentral:misc_RNA from 1 species
CGCACAUUGCGCCCGCCAGUAUUCUGGCGGGCAUGCCUGUUCGAGCGUCAUUUCAACCCUCAAGCCCCCAGGGCUUGGUGCUGGGGAUCGGCUCCGUCCGCGGUGCCGGCCCCUAAAUGCAGUGGCGGUCCUGCCGUAGCUUCCCUUGCGUAGUAGCACAGCUCGCACCGGAGGUCGGCGAGGCCACGCCGUGAAACCCCAACUUCUGAAUGUUGACCUCGGAUCAGGUAGGAAUACCCGCUGAACUUAA